rnacentral:rRNA from 1 species
AUUGAACGCUGGCGGCAGGCCUAACACAUGCAAGUCGAGCGAGCGGCGGACGGGUGAGUAAUGUCUGGGAAACUGCCUGAUGGAGGGGGAUAACUACUGGAAACGGUAGCUAAUACCGCAUACCAUCAGAUGUGCCCAGAUGGGAUUAGCUAGUAGGUGGGGUAACGGCUCACCUAGGCGACGAUCCCUAGCUGGUCUCAGAGGAUGACCAGCCACACUGGGACUGAGACACGCUCCAGACGCCUACGGGAGGCAGCAGUGGGGAAUAUUGCCCAAUGGACGCAAGCUGGAUGCAGCCUCGACGCGCGUGUUAAGAAGGACUUGGGGUUGUAAAGCACUUUCAGCGGGGAGGCGUUACCCGCAGAAGAAGCACCGGCUAACUCCGUGCCAGCAGCCGCGGUAAUAC